UGUGGUAUAAUUGGGUCAAAUUGUGAUUCUAUUCCAAGUUUUUGGAGGAAUAUCCAUGCUGCUUUCCAUAGUGGUUUUACCAAUUUGCAGUCCCACCAGCAAU
rnacentral:pre_miRNA from 1 species